GCUGAUAGCCUAUCUACUCUAAAGGCACCAGAUCUUGUCAGAACUUGGAAGCUAAGCGGGGUCAGUAUUAGUUAGCAUGUGGAUGGGAGACCACCAAAAAUAACAGGUGCUGUAGGUC
rnacentral:rRNA from 1 species